ACCAUAAUCUACAUGACUAGAUAACUCAGUAAUACUCAGAUUCCUAUUGCAGGACCUGAUGACAUGCCAGCACAUAUUAAAUCAUCGAUGUUUGGUUGUGCCUUGACGAUUCCUAUCACCGACGGGCGUCUCAACAUGGGAACUUGGCAGGGUAUAUGGCUUUGUGAACAUCGUGAUGACCCUACUCCUCGCACGAUCGUGAUUACACUCAGCAGGAUCUAAAAUGGCCAAGGCUCUGCAAAUUCAGCGUGGUGAUUUUCAUGUGCAUAUACUGAAAUCGGAGCUUUUGCUUCAAGCUGUGAUGUGAACUUCCAGUGUGUAAUUUUAUCUGUAAUCUUGUAGGCCUGCAAAAUAGAAGUACGAUAAUCUUGUAUGUGUAAUUCUGUACAUGUGGAAUAAAUUUAUCCUUUGGUA